rnacentral:rRNA from 1 species
GACGAACGCUGGCGGCGUGCCUAAUACAUGCAAGUAGAACGCUGAAGAGAGGAGCUUGCUCUUCUUGGAUGAGUUGCGAACGGGUGAGUAACGCGUAGGUAACCUGCCUUGUAGCGGGGGAUAACUAUCGGAAACGAUAGCUAAUACCGCAUAACAAUAGGUGACACAUGUCAUUUAUUUGAAAGGGGCAAUUGCUCCACUACAAGAUGGACCUGCGUUGUAUUAGCUAGUAGGUGAGGUAACGGCUCACCUAGGCGACGAUACAUAGCCGACCUGAGAGGGUGAUCGGCCACACUGGGACUGAGACACGGCCCAGACUCCUACGGGAGGCAGCAGUAGGGAAUCUUCGGCAAUGGGGGCAACCCUGACCGAGCAACGCCGCGUGAGUGAAGAAGGUUUUCGGAUCGUAAAGCUCUGUUGUAAGUCAAGAACGAGUGUGAGAGUGGAAAGUUCACACUGUGACGGUAGCUUACCAGAAAGGGACGGCUAACUACGUGCCAGCAGCCGCGGUAAUACGUAGGUCCCGAGCGUUGUCCGGAUUUAUUGGGCGUAAAGCGAGCGCAGGCGGUUUGAUAAGUCUGAAGUUAAAGGCUGUGGCUCAACCAUAGUUCGCUUUGGAAACUGUCAAACUUGAGUGCAGAAGGGGAGAGUGGAAUUCCAUGUGUAGCGGUGAAAUGCGUAGAUAUAUGGAGGAACACCGGUGGCGAAAGCGGCUCUCUGGUCUGUAACUGACGCUGAGGCUCGAAAGCGUGGGGAGCGAACAGGAUUAGAUACCCUGGUAGUCCACGCCGUAAACGAUGAGUGCUAGGUGUUGGAUCCUUCCCGGGAUUCAGUGCCGCAGCUAACGCAUUAAGCACUCCGCCUGGGGAGUACGACCGCAAGGUUGAAACUCAAAGGAAUUGACGGGGGCCCGCACAAGCGGUGGAGCAUGUGGUUUAAUUCGAAGCAACGCGAAGAACCUUACCAGGCCUUGACAUCCCGAUGCUAUUUCUAGAGAUAGAAAGUUACUUCGGUACAUCGGUGACAGGUGGUGCAUGGUUGUCGUCAGCUCGUGUCGUGAGAUGUUGGGUUAAGUCCCGCAACGAGCGCAACCCCUAUUNGUUAGUUGCCAUCAUUCAGUUGAGCACUCUAGCGAGACUGCCGGUAAUAAACCGGAGGAAGGUGGGGAUGACGUCAAAUCAUCAUGCCCCUUAUGACCUGGGCUACACACGUGCUACAAUGGUUGGUACAACGAGUUGCGAGUCGGUGACGGCAAGCUAAUCUCUUAAAGCCAAUCUCAGUUCGGAUUGUAGGCUGCAACUCGCCUACAUGAAGUCGGAAUCGCUAGUAAUCGCGGAUCAGCACGCCGCGGUGAAUACGUUCCCGGGCCUUGUACACACCGCCCGUCACACUACGAGAGUUUGUAACACCCGAAGUCGGUGAGGUAACCUUUUGGAGCCAGCCGCCUAAGGUGGGAUAGAUGAUUGGGGUGAAGUCGUAACAAGGUAGCCGUAUCGGAAGG